rnacentral:lncRNA from 1 species
CGGAAGCAAAAUAAAAGGUUAAGGUUUACAUUACUUACACAAUAACUUAAAAGUACUUAACAGCAUUACGAAAUUAAUUCUUUGAAAGAAACACGAGAAAGAAGGAAACAAAUGAAAAAUAGAAAAUAUCUAGCAUCUACUCGCACUCUUCUUGUGGAUCGAGCUCUAAAACGUGGUCUUCUUGAUCUGAAAUGGUUAAAUAAGGGAUGAGCUACACUAACCCAAUAAGGAUAUCACACUAUAUCACCAGCACAGAAGUAAAGGUUGGUAUAAAAUCAAAACAACUAAUGGAGCACUAAAUUUAGCAAAUUCGUUUAUCAAUCAUAAAAUCAUUUGCCGUUCACUUACCAUAGUGGAAUUUAUGAAAACAACCUAUAGAGACAAUAAUACCAUACAGAUCAUAACUUCAUGAAUAAUUAGCAACAUAGAACAUAUCAUAAAUUCAUAUCCAUUAACAAUAAACUAAAUCAUAAUCAUUCUCAAUUCACCAGCCUACUAGUAUCUAUGGGGGUUCAAAGGGGUGGCCCCGCUACACGUGAACCCUUUCCUUUAAUAAUCUAAAUUAUAGGGUCGUCCCCAUACCCUGUCCGGUAUGAGCACCAAAACAUUAAACCUAAAUACCCCAUCCGGUAUGGGCGCCAAAUUAUCAGGUCUCCAUACCCCGUCCGGUAUGAGACAACGUCCACGGUAGGCUUCCCUAUGUACCCGGUCCGUCCACCAUCUCUCAGGAUAUCCAGUAAGACUGUCAUCUCAUCUAUUAAUUUAAAUCACACAAUUUCCUUACCGUUUAACAUUAUCCUUUUCUCAAUUCAGUAGUAAACACAUCAAUUAAACAUACAUGCGUUCAAGGCCAUAAAAUAAAUCCAAUACCAUCAUGCAUAUAAAUUGUAAAAUCAAUCAACAAACAGUAGUAGAUAAUUUCCAGUUCUGGCUCCAUUAGAAACCCGUAAUUAAUUACACAUGUUUACUAAAAUCGUAAAAAAUACCACAUUAUUAUUUAUAAUUAAACUUCAAUUCUAUGAUAGUGAAUAGGGUGAGGGAUCCUUACUCGAUUUGACGCCGAAAAGCUAAAUGGUUUACUGCACCUACGGGCGAUCCCUAGGUUCCCUAAAUUUUUUUCUAGGAACUGAAACGCACCUAUAGUACCUACAAAUAUUCUAAAUAAACCCAAAAUCAGUCCCAAGCCCCACUCAGCCAAUUUUAGAAAUCUGGCACGGCGGCUCCAUCGUGCUCCGGUGAUGGUGUUGUUGCCCACAGUGGUGGUCCAACUCGGGUCGGCUGUUUUUGAUCGAAUUCAGCCAAUUUUAUAUCGAUUCCUGCGAGCACACACGCUGAAGGGCCUCGGUGGACACAAAAAAUACGAAAAACCAAAACUCACUAGCGGUGGGGCUCUCUAGUACGGCGGUUCCUCUGGCUCACGUUACGAUUGAGUGUUUCA